UAAAUUCCCGGCUGUCAACAGAAGCUGGGUUGAAUAGAAAUGAACUCAGACAACGAAGAAUCAGUUGAAGGAGAGAAGAGGACAGAAAAUAAACGGAAAAGGCGUAGAAAGAAAGAGAAAGCAGCAGAUACUGUUGUGACAGCUGCACUUAAACAAUUAAAUGCCGAUGAAAUCGAAACGGUGACCGCGGACCGUGUUGAUGGCGUGGAGUAUAGUGUAACAACACAACCAGUCUUCAGAAGUUACCCAUCUGAUAUGGUUUAUGUUGAAAGAAAGAGCGGUUUUCUACCAGCCCCGAGAGAAAUAGUUUUAUCACGCACAAGUAAAAUAAAAUUUAAAGAAAAAAAAAUGCAUACAGAGAAUAAGUCAACAGUAGAAUUAGCUGUGAAAAUUCAAGAGGCAUUCCAUCCUUUUUACAAUUUAUGCCACGGAAUUUUAGGAGGAAUGUCACUUACACUAUGUUUGUUGGUUGUGAGCAUUGGAUGGAACAGAGUAGAGAUAGAAGAAUUUAUUAAUGUAUAUGACAACUUUUCAAGACCUGUACAAUCAAUGUUUUAUUUUCUUACUGUGGUUUGUGUUAUUUCAUCACUUGAUAGGUGUGAUGUUGCACAGAUGUGUGGGCUUCAUGCAAGGAAGUUGUGCCUUCAUCAUUUUCCAGACAUUUUGCUGCUGCUACUGUACUUGUGCACUUUGGUAACAACUGUUGUCACCAGCUACUGGGAUGAACAACUUGCCUACCACCAUCAUAAUUCAACUGGCAUGUGGAAAGAUGAUGCUGACAUGAAGGCAAGUCUUUCCCUGUGGCGUAAUUUGCACUUUGGGAGGUGCAUUGGUGCAGUCAGCAGUUGGAUCAUUGUGUCACUCUACCCUGACCAUGGAUUACUUCACUCACGUUUGAUCAGCGCCAUAAAACUGCAGUUCAGGCCUGUAGUUGAUAUUACGUCAUCUUAACGUCACCAUGUACAGAGUCACUUCCACUGGCUCUCACAACAUAUGGCAUCACCACAAAUGCCUCACCCCUACACAGGUGCCACUACAGAGUGGUGUCAGGGGGACCGAUGUCGCAGCAAUCGACAGUGGAGGGUGUGCCACCCCUGCAGCACAUUGUUUGAGCCACAGCCCACAGUGACUUCAUUGGGGGCAAUCCGUUCUCUAAACAAGAUGGCUGCUUGACCAGUUGAACACACAUCUGAUGACAGAAAUUUUUUUCUGUGUUCAUCAGCUGAACAUUUACAUUGAGCACUGUUAGAUUUACUCUUAUACAUGAAUGUGAUAUCCGCAUUUCAGACAAUGGAAACAAUGUAUCAUAUCUGUAUACACGACCGUAUCUUAUAAGUUGUGAAUUCUGCUUAGAACAAUACUUGGCAAGACAUUGCUUGGGUGCCACUGCACUAUGUAUUGACAGAUUUCAGUGUGCCUUUUCAGAUGUGCUCUCCAUCCUUGAUAUAUGCUCUGUUACCACAGUUAGAUCUCAGUUUAGAGCAGAGAUAAUCUGCAGAAUUGUCCUCAUAGACUCUCUUGUUUAGUCAAGUUUGUGCUAUAACCAUUCCCUAGGAGUUUUAGAAAUUGAGCUAAAGGAGCAACGGGAUAGUAGGGAGAAAGGCUGUCAACCUAGAAAGUCUCAAGCCUAAGCACGCAUAAUACAGCUAAUGUGCAGCAGAGAUUUCUCUCUAAUGAUCAUCUUGCCUUAACAGCCAGACAACCUAUUCAUGUUCAGCAUGCAGGCUGAAGAUCUUCACUACAAGAGGAGAGGAAUUAAUUGCAGUUGAGGAGCCUUCUUAGGUAUAGAAAGGGGAAAAGUCAAAUAAUAAAAAAGAAAACAAGUGAUGGAAGUGGAAAGCAAAACAGUUUCCCAGAGGUUACUUUAAAGUUUGCAAUAAGUUUUCCUACCUGCACUUUCGUCAGCAUAGAAGAAAGGGCAGGACCCAACAAAAAUUUGCACAGCAGAGAAAAGCUCUUUUGCAGAGCAAUUGAUUAAGAGAGACCGAUUGAUUCUUCGCUGUGAUCAGAAUUUGAUAGAGUGAAGUUGUACAGAUUUGUUCUUUAUAUCGGGGUUAAAAGUUUUAAGAACUGUUAAUCAGCAUAUAUAAAAUAAAUUUACCACACAAUUACACUGCUGAAGAAAUCCCUCAUGUUUAUAAACUGGGCACAGAAAAAUUGAAAGCAACUCUGAAGGGGCACUGGUAGAGCAGUUUGACUCCUAAAAAGAUGAAGGCAACAACAAGAAAUUCUUAUUGUGCACUUAAUAAUGAUCUUAAAAAACCAUCAAACUGUUAUGGCACAUGUGGACCAUAUAAAUUCAUUGCCAAUGUGAUUUGGUGAAAAAUGUUCAAAAUGUGCAAGCAGAUAUGGAUAAAGUAGAAAAGAAUACAUAAAAUAAAAGUUUGGCUAAUGAAACAGGAAAAUAAAAAAGGAACCUGGUGUAAA